GACGUAGGGCGCGAGCGUUGUCCGGAUUUAUUGGGCGUAAAGAGCUCGUAGGCGGCUUGUCGCGUCGUCCGUGAAAACUUGGGGCUCAACCCCAAGCUUGCGGUCGAUACGGGCAGUCUGGAGUUCGGUAGGGGAGACUGGAAUUCCUGGUGUAGCGGUGAAAUGCGUAGAUAUCGUAAGGAAGACCAGUGGCGAAGGCGGGUCUCUGGACAGUUCCUGACGCUGAGGCACGAAGGCCAGGGGAGCAAACGGG
rnacentral:rRNA from 1 species